rnacentral:rRNA from 1 species
GGGGAUAACUAUUGGAAACGAUAGCUAAUACCGCAUAAAAGUCGACAUUGCAUGAUGUUGACUUGAAAGGUGCAACUGCAUCACUAAGAGAUGGACCUGCGUUGUAUUAGCUAGUUGGUGAGGUAACGGCUCACCAAGGCGACGAUACAUAGCCGACCUGAGAGGGUGAUCGGCCACACUGGGACUGAGACACGGCCCAG